rnacentral:rRNA from 1 species
UACGGAGGGUGCGAGCGUUGUCCGGAAUCACUGGGCGUAAAGGGCGCGUAGGCGGCCGCGUAAGCGUGUGGUGAAAGCUCGGGGCUCAACCCCGAGUCGGCCAUGCGAACUGUGCGGCUCGAGCCCACUAGAGGCAGGCGGAAUUCCGGGUGUAGCGGUGGAAUGCGUAGAGAUCCGGAAGAACACCGGUGGCGAAGGCGGCCUGCUGGGGUGGAGCUGACGCUGAGGCGCGACAGCGUGGGGAGCAAAC